CCUUGUAUGUAAUUUAAAUUUUUAUGUAACUGUCUUUAUAAAAAGACUUAAAGUGACUUGUUGUGUAUAAUAUUAGAUUGACCGUGGUGCAUUUCACGAGACAUACAAAAUAUCUAAAAUAUUGAGCAAAAGAGGGAAAAAACCUGGUUUUGACAGUUUGUCUGGUGUAUGGUUGUGGUUACAGACAACUACAAGGAGUUGAUGGAAAGAAAAGAAGCCUUCCUCAAGGAUGAAGACAUCUGGCACAUGGCAGUUGCAAGGAUAAGGACCUCACCUUGUACCACAACAUAUGACGGAAGCAAACCAAAGAAAAAAAGAAUUACUGCAACUUCCAGUCUCACUUCAGAUGAAGAUGAAACACAGAUUGACCCAUCACAAGUUCUUCAAACAAAUAUACAGUUAUUGCUGAAUUUCCAGGAACAACUGUGUCUGAUGUGAGAGCAGUGAUUCGGAGAAAAUGUAACAAUGAGAAUUUUGUGACCAAAAAGAAACAGUAAGCAGUAACAUCAGUAACUGGUUGUAAUAGUUUUUGUUUGUUUAUUUUUUGGUGGACAUACAUUUUGAGUUUACACAAACUGUGUCAAUGUUUCAAAAGUCAGUUUAAUGUUCAUUUCUGUCAUUACUAGCUUCUCUGCGGUGCACAGCUAGCACAUCUAUUGUUUCUUCUGAAGAUCAAGUUGUUCAGGUCUCUGUAAAAUUUGUUGAUAAACUUUUUUCUUUUUUUUUUGUGAACUUAAUAUUACUAAAAAUAAUUAUCUGGGGUCAAAUGAUCCAAAUUUGAAAAAAAAUGUUACGAUGAAGAGCAACUGUUUGAAAAUGUUGUUUAGAUGUACUGUACCAACACUAAACUUUACAUCUUUAAGUUGUACUUAAAUGUACUUGAUUUAUGCACAUUUUCCUGCAAUG